AUGGGAAAACGUUAUGUUCAUGAAUCAGAAAACGUUGUUAAUAUGGCAACACUCCCUGAGUUGAUCUACAAAAUCAAUGCAAUUCUCAACAGAAUCCCAGCUGACUACCUUGUAGAAAUUGACAAUGAUUCUAAAAAUCACAUGAAAUUGCAUGGGACCCUGAAUAGCCAAAACACCUGGGAAUGGGGCCUGGAGCCCUAUGUGGAUUAAACCUUCAUCUCCAGAGUGUUUACCAUCAUGGAGGAGACCGUAAUGAGCAUCAAAAUGAUCCAAAAAAGCCUCACUGAGAUCCCAGCUGGCUACUGCUUUGUCAAAUGAACAGAUUUGGCCACAGCUAAGAAGUGUUUGCAUAAAAUUAAUGGGAAACCUCUCCCACAAGCCACACCUGCAAAACACCUUAAAUUGAACUAUACCACUUAUGAGAAAUUAUCAGAUAAUACUGUGUACUCUUUUGUUUGGUGGGUGGGCUGACCCACAAUAUGGAGGAUGGCAUGCUGUAAGAAUUGUCAACACCUACCCCUCCUGUCCAGGAGGCAAGAUGUUUUGGCCAGACAGGUAUGUCUAAGGAAGGGCUAUUGUUUUGUGAAAUUCAUGGAUGAACUGGAAGAGAAGGGAACCCUGAGAGAGUGCCAGGGAGUAGUGGACCUGGGCUUUAAACUGGUGCUGCUGAACAUGGCAAUCCCUAAAGUGAGACAUGCAAAGUCAGUGGAAUAUGGUCAGACGAGCAGUUGCAGCUACAACCAGUAUUAUCAGCAGUACCAGAAGCACUAUGCCUAACAGGGCGAGGACCAGAACACAAGGCAGCCACAGUCACAGUUACCCCCCACUUCGGCUCUACCCAGAGCAUCAUGCAGACAUAGGAAUAAGUUUGAGAGGAUGCACUAGAUGAACCCAUGCCAAGCUGGAUAUGACAGGGCAGGGCAAGGGCUGUAUGAUGCACUGAUGGACUGGCAGCCCCUGGCAGUGUCUUCAGAGAUCCUCACCAUGAGGUAGCCAGGACAAAGGAGAAGACAGACUCCUUUAAAUAUGAGCAUACAUACAUGAUUGAUAUUUAAAUACACACACACACACACACACAUUUGAGGGAUAAGAACAUUUACUUUUUUGGAAAUAUGAUUUAUGAGAUUUUAGUAAUCAAUGAUUUAUGACUAUUUCUCCAACACUGCUGCCUUGCUUUGAUAGUGAAUCAUUUGAGUUUGAAAAUCAAAUAACUAACUUUAAAGAGGGUUGAAGAAAGUUCAAAUUUGCAUUUCUUUGAACAAGAAUCAUUUACCCAUGUAGGGUUCUCCGUAUUAGAAAUAAGAAGAGUUUAGGAUUAUUAACCAAAGUGGGUCAUAGGAUUCAGUUACUAAACUCUGGGUUUAGAGGUCCUUCUCAGAUGACAGGCAUACAAAUCAUUAAGAUUCUCUGGAAUCAGCAUGCAUGGAUUACCUGCUGUGUGUUAAACAGUGGGCAAUUUUAUCUAUGGUAUUUCAGGUAUCCUCACCCAAUCCCCCUGACAACACAUUUGCUCCAAGGGUAGUAGCUAGGUAGAACAGUUCAUUAGGCACUCCAGCUAAGAUGGGCCAAUGUAUGGCGGGAACUGAUGGAGCCAGCUCAACCUAGAUUACAAGACUCAAGACUUAGCGUUUACUCUAGGACCGGGUCUAGAUUUACAAAGCCUCGAUUUUUUUUUAGGAACAAGACUGUUGAUGGGCUGUCAGGCCCUCCAACCCUGCUCUUGUGUUUCUUGACUUUAUCUAAAUUUAUUAAAUAGAUAUGACUCUAAAAUAGAGAACCCAGGAAACUAGGACUUUAUGAUUUGGGAAAUUUUCAACAUAUCCAGAUUGCAAAAGAUGGUAAAAUUAAGAGAUUUGCUGUCAAGAGUUUGCUCUAGAGAGAGCACAGAGACUGUACAAACUUUUGUUAAUAUCUCGGAAAUUUUUCCUUUGAAGAGAUUAAGUGUGUGAUUCAUAGAUUCCCCUCAGAGAACUCAUCAGAAGCCAAAAGUAGAGACGAGGUUAUUUAGGAAAGCUCUGUGAAGUAGCCUUUGUUCUAAUGGAAUGAAUAUCCUUGACAAACACAGGAGAUGCGCAAGGUUCCUGCGAGUUAUAUAUCAGCAGAAACACUGUCGGCUUGGUCUAAAGGUCAUACAAAAUGAAAAAUGAUAUUGAAUCUACUAGUAGAAACAAGCUGAUAACAAUUCUCACGUGCUGUAUUUCAUGAAAAAGGAUGACUCAGAAGGUAAAGUCAUGAACGACAGAGAAUUAAUCUCAGACUUUGAAACCAAAUGUAGUUUGUUCAGAUGGAUUUUGGAAUUGCUUGGGACCAGUGACUUCUUUUCCUUCUAUAUUUUCCCUUUUUUUGAACCAGAAUGUCUACAAUUGUAAUCAAAUGCUUGUCUUACUCUGGUUUGUUGCAAGCAGAUACCUUCUUUCUUUAGUUUCCCUUUUUUUUUUUUUUUUUUUGUCUUUUUUGUCUUUUUGCCAUUUCUUGGGCCGCUCCAGCGGCAUAUGGAGGUUCCCAGGCUAGGGGUCCAAUCGGAGCCGUAGCCACCAGCCUACACCAGGGCCACAGCAACGCAGGAUCUGAGCCGCGUCUGCGAACUACACCACAGCUCACGGCAACGCCGGAUCGUUAACCCACCGAGCAAGGUCAGGGACAGAACCCGCAACCUCAUGGUUCCUAGUCAGAUUCGUUAACCACUGCGCCACGACAGGAACUCCUUUUCUUUAGUUUCAUAGGGCCACAUAUAGAGAGGAAUUGUAUCCCAAAAUGGAUCAUACCCAAACCUUGCCCAUAUUUUAGAUGAAGAGAUUUGUGACAUUCAAGCUGCUGAGAUUAAGAAGUCAUUUUGGGAGUUCCCGUUGUGGCUCAAUGGGUUAGGAAUCUGACUAGUAUCCAUGGGGAUGUGGAUGCACAGAGGCAGCUGGGAUCUGGCAUCACUGUGGCUGUGGCAUAGGCCAGCAGCUGCGGCUCUGAUUCAACACCUAGCCUGGGAACUUCCAUAUGCCAUGGGUGCUGCCAUAAGAAGAAAAAAAAAGUCACGUUGGACUUUGUGUUGAUGCUGUAAUAGUUUGACUUUGGGAAUGGGACGAAUGUAUUUUGCAUGUGAGACAAAUGUGAAUCUUUGAGGGCCAGACAUGGACUGUGGUAGACAUAAUAAUGCCCUCCAAAAGAUGUCCAUGAUCUAAUCCCUGGAUUCUGUGAAUAUGCCACUCUUCAUGGUGAAAAGACUCUGCAGUAAUUUAAACCUAAUUCCUUGUCUAAGGCAUGAGGUAGUUGGGCUCAUCCAGUGACCAAGCCUGUGUGGGUCUUGGGGUGGAUGUGAAGUAGAUAAUGUUAUAAACAAGACUUGGAGACUCAGAGGCGAGAAGAGGGAACUAUUUCUGUAUGUGUGAACCAGAUUCUCAGCUCUGUCAUUAAAUCACUCCUAUACUGCUGCUGUUUUAUGGUCCCCUUGAGAGGAUAAGGCUGUUUAGUGGGAAUAUGGUAAAAUUAGUUUCUUCUAUAUCAUCCCCACUGUUACUUAAGAAUCACUGAAUUCCUGUAGAAGACCCUUCAGAUUCCAUUUGUGCUAGUAAUUUAGUACUACAUGAUGCUGAAGUGCUUGGCUCUAGUUUAGUAGUAAAGGCUCAAGUCAGAAAGUCAAAAUUAGUAUUACUAAAGGGUAGGAAAUGUGCUUAUUCUUUAACUCUUCCCUUUCAUCUCCUCAGAUACACUAAAAAUUCAAAAUCAUUCACUUGUCUGCCAAUUACAUGAUAUUUCUGAAUUUUAAAGGCAUUUGUGUCACUUAUCUCAAAAAUAACUUUAACUUCACUGUUCAAAGAUGAGAAAUUUUACAAGCCACCACAACAUUCUUGAUUCCUAUGGUAAACUUACCAUGUACCUUACCCAUGAUCAAGAAUAAUUUCUAUUACUCAAGUAGAAAGCAUAAUUCCCCAAAUUAAAUACUACUACAUUUAUACAUCACCUAGUGCUUGUUGUGAACAACUCUGUAACAACCAAUUAAUAUUGUGAAUACAAGAUUGACUAAAAAAUAAUCCCUAAAGUUUCCAUUUCUGACAAAUGGUGUCAAAGAACAUGGAGAUUUAAUUACUUGGAAACAAAUUACGUUACUUUAAUAACAUGAAGAUAAAUUAUGGUAUAAAGUUCAAAUUCAAAAUCUAAGUGCUCCUUUUAUUGAAACACCAAUUGAUAUCUUUGUUAUGCUUCAGGAAAUGAGGCCAAGAAGGAACCUGAGUGUAAAAGGAAAUGUAAUUAUAUAACUCUCUAGGCAAUUCGCAACAGUUUAGAAAAUAAGUAAAAAUACUACAAUUGACCCUUGAAUACAGGGGCUAGGGGUUAUGAUCCCCCAUGCAGUUGAAAAUCUGAGUAUAAUUGACAGUUAGCCUUCUGGAUCUGUGUGUGGUUCCUCUACACUCAGAGUUCCACAUUUGGGGAUUCAACUAACCAAGGAUAGGGAAAAUCCCUUACAUCAAAGCAUGAAAAAAAAUCAAUGUAUAGGUGGAGCCAUGCAGGUCAAACCCUGUUACUCAAGAGUCAGCCGUAAUUGGAAAAGCAUUGGUGAUGCUCCAAUUGAUAUUCAGGCAUUCCAACCUAUUCACUAGCUGAUGACAAAUCUAUUUUAUAAACUGACUAGUAAUUCAGGCAGUUUUACACAUCAGAAAGCAUACUGGACAAGGUGCUUGAAUAUAUGAACUUUUGUCCUAAUCUUGCCAGUAACUGAUUUGAACCCUCUGGGCAUGCUUAACAAAAGGGGGUGAGGUAAGCCCUUUCCAACACAUGGUUUUUACCAGUUUGACCAUGACCUGGACAGACGUGUUAUUUGUGAUUGUUCUGUUUGGGACUUGUGAUUCCAGAAUUGCAGGUUGCUAAUUUUUUUUCUCUUUUUUGGCCGCACCAUGGCACAUGGAGUUCCCAGUCUGGAUCAGAUCUGAGCUACCAGGUGUGGCAACAAUGGAUCCUUAACCCACUAUGCAGAGCCUGAGAUCGAACCUGCAUUCUAGCGCUCCCAACAGGCCGCUGAUCCCACUGCACCACAGCGGGAAAUCCACAGGUUGCUAUUUUAGAUGAAAUUUGGGAACUUUUUGAUUUGAAAUAUUUUCUCGCUCCUCAAUUCCUUUAACACCUAGAUGGUCCCAUAGAUAGCUGAGUCUUUUUGGCAUUGUUUUCUUAGUCCUUUGUGUGUGUGUGUGCAAGCUUGGAUGAAUCUUGUCAUCUCUAAGUACAUGAUCCUUUGUUUUAUUCUAUCCACUCUACUGUAACCUUCCUCCAAUGAAUCUCUGAUUUCAGAUAUUGAAAUUUAGUCUGAAGAUUUCCGUCUGGGUUUUUCUCCUGAAAUGCCCAUCUUUUCAUUCAUAAUUUUCACUAGUUCUUAUAUACACUUUAACAUUAUUAUUAUAGUUAAAGUGAUAUCUGUUCAACUGUUUGUAGGUCUGUUUCUAUUCACUACUUCUUAAAACUAUAGAUCACAUUUUCCUUUCUUUCCAUUUACAUACCACACACACAUACACAACAAUAUGAAUGAUAUAUUGCAGAGUCUUUGGGUUGCAUUAUCUGCCAUUAUGAGAGGAUAAUUAAAUUUCAGAUGGACCACCUUAAACUUGUAGAAACUUGGUUUCAUGCUUUGCUAGGGUGGGGCACUUUGUUUUUGCCCUUUGUUCAUUAAUCUUGAGAGGUAGUUAUUUAUUCCCAAGGAACAGAUCCUCUGGGGACAGGAAAAGCCUGGGGUGUUUCCAAGGCCUUGCCACUAUGUAAGACUUGAAAUACAGUCUCUUGUUUCUCCUGCACUAGAUAGUAGCUGGAAUAACUGCUCAGCUCUUUCAACCUUCCAUCUGUAGGCUCUCACUAGAAUAAAGUCAGAGUCAGGGUCAAGCCAGGGAUCUGACAGGAAAAUAUUCCCUCGUCCCACAUGUGAUUCCACCUGUUCCUGACGUUCUCCCCUUGAUUUCUGCCAUGAUGGCAGUCCUCCUCCAGUCUCCCUCAACUCUGAUCCUAACUCAUGCCGGCUCGUGUGAUUAAAAAACAAAACAAAACAACAUAAUAGAAGGAAAAUAUAAAGUGAUUGCACAAAAGUGGCACCAUAUGCUCAAGUUUAUUGAACAGACACCAGUUACACAUUGGAAACUAGUAAGCAGAACACUGUACCAGUUUUCACUAACUCAAAUCAAGUUAGCAAAUGACAAAUUUUAGAACACACUCAUCUUAUGUCUCACCCAAUGUGGGUGAUCACAAGAGAACUACAUAAAGAAAGUUACUUUCUAUGUUAUUUAGAUAGCAAAUUAAUUGAUAUACACAGCUUCGAAGUGUCUUUAAGAUAUUGCAAAGUGUUUCAAAACUAGUAGGGAACUGUUCAUGUCCAGCCUGAAAUAAAGUGUAGAAUGGACCUUUGGAGGGUAAAUAAUUUCACUUGUACAUCUAUUGCAGAAUCACUCCUUCCUGCUAACAAAAAUACUAAUAAAUUUCCAUUUAGAUUAGGUUUACUAAAUUAAUAAUGACUGAAAUAUCUAGGUUUGGUUACAUUGUUAUAUUGCACUUGAGAAGAAUAACAACAAAAAUCAAAGACUCAGUACCUCUUCCAAGAACUUCACUAUGUAUCAGAAGCUACAAUGAAAUAGAAACAUAUAUGCAUGCUACAUGUUCAUAGGUUUACCGUUCAAACUAUCCUACCAUACCAAAAAGUUUAAAGGGAUACUCUCCAAAACACUGAGUAUUAAGUCAUUUCAUUUACCAUUUUGGAUCCUGUAUUGAAUUUUCAAAUUUUAUAUUGUUUUCUUAUUAAUCAAGCUAUCACAUAUACAAGCUAUCCAAGAUCACAAGCACAGUGACACUGAGAUAGGCAACAGUCAUACAGAAGUAUUCCAAGAAUGACUUAUUCUUUGCCAAGCUCAACAAGACAUUUUGUAACACAGGAACAUCUAUGAACUUACAGGUUUUAGCCUUAUUAAAAAAAAAAAAAAA